UUGGGGCGCGUAGGAAGGUGUUGUUUGCAUUUUCACUUGCAAGCUUUUGUCUCCCAUUUCUGCAACAUCUUCCUGAGAUUGACUUUCCUCCCCAAUAUUUCGAAGUCUAUAAUCUGCAUCAACGAGUCCCGGAUGCACUUGGAUCUUGCUUGUAUCUGCACCGUCCCUCCACCCUGAGAUCAGAUCAGGAAUUUUGUUGUGUAAUUUGUGACAAAUAUGAGUGGAAGGGGUGAAAAUAUACAUGGUGAGAAUGGUGGUGAUGCAUCGGAAACAUUUUUUGUGGAACUGGAUGACAUAGUGGUAGAUGAUGUAGACAAUGUUGACAUGUUUGACGAUGUUCUAGUGUAUUCUUAUGAGGAUGAAGAGGAUGCUGAGGAAUAUUUAAAAUAUGAAGAAGACUAUGGUGUUGGAUAGUGGGUCACCGUUGAUAAGCUUCGAUUCGAUGGUAGACAUUUACAAUAUAGACAUGCAUAAUCUAACGAAUGAUGAAGUUGAACAUUUGGAUUUUUUGGAUUGGGAGAUGGCUUGGUAUUCUCGACUUAUUGGGUUUUCUGUACGCAAAAGCCAUGCUGUGAGGUCCCAAUUUGGUGAGAUAGUGCAACAAACAUUUCUAUGCUCACGUGGACUGAGGGAGGAUACAGGUUUGACUUAGAAAGCAAGCAUCAAAAAAUUAUGCAAGCAGUGAGCAUGGGCGAGGUGGGCAACCGCCCAAGUCCCCAUUUUUAGAGGGGCACCCAAAAUUUUAUG